rnacentral:rRNA from 1 species
GACGAACGCUGGCGGCGUGCCUAAUACAUGCAAGUUGAGCGCUGAAGGUUGGUGCUUGUACCUACUGGAUGAGCAGCGAACGGGUGAGUAACGCGUGGGGAAUCUGCCUUUGAGCGGGGGACAACAUUUGGAAACGAAUGCUAAUACCGCAUAAAAACUUUAAACACAAGGUUUAAGAUUGAAAGAUGCAAUUGCAUCACUCAAAGAUGAUCCCGCGUUGUAUUAGCUAGUUGGUAAGGUAAAGGCUCACCAAGGCAAGGAUACUUAGCCAACCUGAGAGGGUGUCGGCCACCUCGGGACUUGAGCACGGCCCCAACUCCUUAGGGAGGCAGCCGGAGGGAAACUUCGGCAAAGGACGAAAGGCCUACCGGACAACGGCGCGUGAGGGAAGGAGGGUCUCGGAUCGUUAAACUCUGUUUGUAGGGAAGGACGUUGGUGGGAGUUAAAAGCUCAUCAAGUGACGGUAACUACUCAGAAAGCGACGGCUAACUACGUG